AGUUCGGCUUCAGUGACUGAAAGAACCUGCAGGAGCCAAGGGCUGUGAGUCCCGCUGCUGGUAUUGCUGCUGCUGUCGCUGCCGCUCUGCCCUCCACUGCUGUUGCUGAGACUGAACUGCUGCUCUCUUUUCAAGUCAGCGGGAAGAGCAAGAGCCCCAAUUGAAACAAGGCUACAGAGUGCAAACGCAAAACAUAAGGAGAGCACCUACAUCUUUGCAAAACAGGUGGACAUAUCUGACUCCUGGUUGGUGACUCUUGCUUGCAAGGUAACAGUCCAGCAGACUUAUACUGUCAGAAAUGCUGGCUGUGCAAAGGGGAACUCUUACAAGAUUUUCUGAAGCCAUCCUAGAAACACAUUUUACAGAUUGAUUCAGCAUUACCAGGCUCUUCUCUUUAAUAAUACUGUGAAUUAUUUCAUCUUUGAACACCAAGGAAAACCUAUAGUACCUGGGAAGCUGAGGCCCAGGGAUGUCAACUGAUUUGUUCAAGCUCCUCCAGUAAACGUAUUACCAUCUACAUUAACGACGUCGAAAGUAGCCUAUUUUAAGAGGAAAUAUGCAGAAGAAGAAGAUUUACAUCAAGAUUACAAUGGGUAUUUUCCAAAACACCUGAUAUUACCAGAAGACCGGACCUGCAUUCUAAAACUUUCACUAGAGAAGCUCAGGUUUCUUGAAGACCCUGAAACCUAUCUUCGAAGGUCUGUGUUGAUCAACAAUUUGUUGAGGAAGAUCCACCUGGAGACAGAGAAAGAGAGUUAUGAAUACUUUAAGGAAGCUCCCUGUUAUAGGACUGCUUAUUCUGAUACAAGAAAACGGCUGAAGUUUAUGGUACAAGAAUGCUGCUCUCAAUCACUCUAUUAUGAAGAGCUGCAUUCGUACCAUAUUGUGCCUUAUUCUGCGGAGAAUGCCAUUUAUGGAAUGGGCUACAGCAGCAGCCACUUGGAGCAAAAUUCUCAGUUGCUUAUUUAUAAAAUGAAUUAAAGCAACUAUUAGGUUGAUUUCCUAUUUUUAUUUCUAAAUGCCUGAACUGUUUCUAUGUGAACAGGUUGUACUGAUUACCCAGUGCAUUUGGGAUCAACACAAAGAUGCACUUUGAACUGAAUGGAAGCAUACUUUGAUUAAUAUUUAGCAGUCCUUUAUAUCAUCAUAUUGAAUUAAAAUUAUGUCCAAAAAUUCUAAAGUUUGCAGAUUAAGUGCUUUUGGAAGCUGAGCUCUCUUUUAAGAUAUGGUUUCAAAUGUAAAGUUGUUCAUGCAGGUUUUUAGACAUUUUCACCUAUAUUUGUUAUACCACCAUUGGUGGAGAAUAAAAAAUGAAGAAAAGAACAGACUCACCUGACAGUAUAGUCUCAAUGAGGAUAAUGGAUGUUUUGAAUUUAGCAUCCUUUAAAAGAUGAGAAAGUGGGCAAGUUCUUUCAGAAAUGCUGUAUGUUUUUCCAAACAUUUGUGCCAAAGCAUUUGCUGGGCACGAUUUUCAGCCUCAAGAGUUAGAAUUCAAAAUGGGGCAAUAGAUCCUGUAAAUUCAAAAUAAAAUAAUUGGGGGAGGGAGGGAAAGGAAACUUUAAAUGGUUGCACUAAAUUGUACUCAGUUUUAUUCAUCUCAUGGCUUAGUAGCCUUUGUUGUUGAGCAGUGAAAUUUAGUGAACUCUCUGUCUUGGGUCUUGUCACCAGUUACAGUUUGUGGUGAGUCACUACUAAAUAGUGAUAAUCUCAUUUAAUUUCUUUAGUCAUCUGUUUUGGAGCCUGGGGAAGGGGUGGGUGGGCAAACUUUUUCACAAACUGAAACUUUUUUUCCUGUAGUUAUCAAGACUGGAAUAAACCAGCAGAUAUGCCAGGGUAUUCUUGCUUUACCCAUUUUUAAGAGUGCUCUAGAUGAUGCUAUUUCAAUUUUGCACUGGUUUUAACAUUACUCUCAAGCACUAAUUGACACAGAGUUUUAGAGUGCUAUUGAUAUAACAGUUUAGGUAGUUACAUUUUUGCAAUGUGAAAGUUGUUUAUUUAAUAUAUUAGCUAGAAUUAUUAAAUUGUUGGAGGUAUUUUAUAUCAUUUGGGAUUUGAGGGUGAUAUCCAUCUUCAGUUUUUAGAGUUUUGUCUUAUCAAGCAUGUUAUUUUAAAGAGGUAAUAUAAAAUGAUCAAGCAGAUUGGGAAAACUAGUUGCCAAAGGUAUACUCAGAAAAAACCAAAGACUAAUGUUAAUGAGGCUGUGAUAUUGGAAAGAAGAGUUGGAAAUGAGGAUUGCUUAGGAACGAAAAGCAACACUAUUGAUACUUCUGUAAACUUGGUAUUUACUAUAAUGUGUUUGAUGUUUAUUUUUGGGACUCUACACAAAACGAUAGAAUGUCAAAGGCCUUGUUUUAGAUGACAAAUUACAAAUCUUCAGUAACCAUACUCCAUUAUCAGUGAAAAGGUGAUGGUUUGUUAUAUGGUCCUGAUGCUGAAAGCAGACUCUUAACACUCAGAAAAUGAUUUUCUAUUUGUGAGAUUUGUAGCUUGUUACUUGACUUAUAUUGUUUGUGCCCUAUUGUGAACUAUUACAAUGUUUAUCAUGGGUGCAUUUGGUAUCAAGGAUUUAAAAAUUUUAAUUAGAAUGCAUGGCAGCAGAUUACAAAGACAGAAUGGUGAAUUCUACCAGGUGCAUAUUUAAUAUUACUGUCAAAUCCAGGAUAAAAAGCAUUACAGCAAAAUGAAAAACCAGAAUUGAGGUUAAUACCCAUGCAAUGUAAGCUGAAUGGAAAAUCAUAAUAGAAAAAAAAAAAACCAAGCAUCUGGGAGCCAAAUUUAGUCAAGAAGUUCAAAAAACCUAAAGCCUGCCCUUUUCCACCAAGCCAAGAAAGUAGCUCUCAUUUCCCAUAAUAGCACUUUUUAUCACAUAAAGUUCUUAAAGCACGAUAAUCUCAAUUACAAAGGCUAUGAUUGUAAGAGAAGAAAUAGAAAAAGGAAUUUUCCCAGCAAGAAUUAGAAAUGGGGGAUUUUCAGAUUUUCACUGGGAAAGGUAGUAUACUUGGGGUUGUAGACAAAACUACAUUAAUUUGCCUUUAAGAGGUAACCUAAUUAUAUUAAAUAAAGCUUGCAUCAAAGUUUUUUUUUUUUUUUUAAUCAAGGUAAAUGUGAACAAUAUAUUCAUCUUGGGAAAAGCAUAGAAAAGGUGAAGGAUUAAAGGGACUUUUUGUAUCAAAUGUACAGAAAUGAAUUGCUGGUGAAACCAACUACUCUAUGUGGCAGAGAAACAGAAAAAUGUCUCAUUUGAUCCUAUAUCAUUUAAAAGAGCUUGCUGAUCUAUAAGUGCUUAUGAAAAGGAUGUGUUUUCAGUUAUAUCUGAUUCUUCAUUAUUCCAUUUGGGGUUUUCUUGGCAAAGAUACUGAAGUGGUUUACCAUUUCCUUCUCUAGCUCAUUUUACAGAUGAGGAAACUGAGGCAAGAAGGUUAAGUGACUUGCCCGGAACCACACAGCUAGUAAAUACCUGGGUUCAGAUUGGAACUCAGAUCUUCCUGACUCCAAAGCAUGGUACUCUAUCUACUGCACCACCUAGCUGCCCCUAAGAAGAGAGAUACCAAUGUUUAAAAAUGAAAAAAAUCUUUGAAAAUGUUAAAAUAUUUCCAUAAAAAUGUAAAGGCUAUUUAAGUUAGUAAUUAAUCUAUUUAAGACAUUUAUAUACUUUUAUACAAAAAUUGUAAAAAUAGUUUCUUGAUAAAGAGAUUCCCAAUAAUUUGAAAAUCUAUAGAAAUAUCUUAGAACUAUAAAACAUCUAUUCUUCUGAGUUAAGAAACAAGAUUAAGGAAAAGUAACUGGAGGAGCAUUAGCUACACUUUGUGUUCUCCCUUUUAACUAUCCCAUUGUUGUCCCCUUUCUCUUCCCUUAUCUGGGUGAAGUGAAGCUUAUUGAAAAUCUUCAGUAGAAUGGAGAAGGCUAUCCUAGAUAAGUAACCAAGAAUAUCAUUGAUAGGGCUGAGUAAUGCCUGUGGGUGUCACUCUCAGACUGGAAGCAUAGUAAGAAAAUAAGCUUUAAAAAAGGGAAGCAAGAAAAGGCAAAAGGAGAAGAGUAAGAAGUGAAAUUAGGGGUGGGAGAAAGGUUAGAGAAAGAAAAGAAAGAAGUUUUUCUUUCCAAGAUUAUUUGACUGCCACCUACAGCUGACAUCUGAACUUUUGGCUGUCUAGUUCGUCUGGACAAAGGACUCAUUCAUGUUUUUAGUUCAUUGCUUUGCAUUCACCAAGGAGGCUGGAUUGUAUUUAGUCCAUAUGCAAUUGAAUAAUGUAUAUGCUAAAUUUUAAAAUCUUCCUCUAAAUAGUCUGUUAGGGGCAUGACUGAAGAGGAAAAGGUGUGAUGAAUAGAUGAUUGAUAGACUGAGCAGCAAGCAUGUGUAUGGGACAGCCAAAUACUACAUUGGGCCUCAAAUCACAUGACUGCACCAAGAAGUGGAGGAUAUUUCAAAGGUAAGGGCUAUUAACUGAGAGCUUUAGCUUUUCCCAUUGUUCAACUCUGGGAAUGCUUAUGUCUCUAUAUUUUGGUAGGCUGUUAUGAAGGGAGAAUCUCAGACCCUAGUCAAUUAGAAGUCAAGCACUGAUGCUUUUAGAGAUUGAAUUCAUAUUUUUAAAUUUAAAAACUAGUGGGUAUAGAACCAGGGUGUAGAAACUCUGGGGACAAUCAUACUGUGUUCUCCCCCCAUUCUCCUUUAUUGUUUUCUCCCCUCAUAUAGGCACAAACAAAUACAAUUAAAGGGAAAAAAGUCAUAAAAGAGUAACAGUUUAGGACUAUGUUAAAAAAAAAAAAGGCAGGAUGAAUCCUAUGCUAUUGUCUUGGUGAAGUAUCAGUGCUAUUGAUGGCCAGAAUAUGAGUGUAUUUAUCACUUGUUGACAUUAUAUAAACCUCUUUAUAGAGGCUUAUAAAAGCCAUGCCUUUUUUUCUUUUUCUUCUUUUAAAUUAGCAUUUGAAAGAGUCACUUUCCCCUUCCCAUUGGCUCCCUAAAUGUUCUGCAUCACUGUAGUAAUGUACAUUUGGAAGAAUCCUCAAGGAGUAGGGCCAGGGGCCAGGAUGCUUACUUAAAUUUGCUGUACCUUGGAACAGUGUAGGAAGGCAGAGGAAAGUAUUUAUCGCACAAGCUCAACUUUCUCUGGGAAGAAGAUUUUUUUAAGAGUAGGGGCAAUUAGUUUUCAUUGCUGUAAUCUGGUCAUUCCUGAGCUGAUCUAGUGCAUAUUGAAAUAACAGCUCUCAGUCUUCUUUAAAACUUUAUAAAAUGUUGAUUUCAUUUUGGGAUUUAUAAACUUUCUUUAAUGUGAUAUGAUACUUUGCAGUUAUAUCCAUUUUAUUAAAUGUUUAAGGAAAAGUACUUUCAUUUAAAAAUAGAAAUUUUUAAUUAGCUUUCAGAAACUAGCAAACAAGUAUUUUUAAUUAACAAAAUUUAUGAUGUAUAUAAUUAUAUGUGUGUCAAUUUGACAAAUUUCCCUUUUCAAACUUCAUUAAUAGACAUCAGGCAUAUGAUGAGUUUGUCACUUUUUUUCCCUUGAGGGCUAUUUUCUAACUGUAGAAGUCCAUCUGGAGCUGAAAACUUUGAUCUGAAUUUUCAAGUUAAUAUAAUUCUCUCUUUGUGAAUAUUGACAGUAGCUUAUGACUCUUAACCUAAAAGAUUUUUCAACCAGAAAUAUAUAUAUAUAUAUAUAUAUAUAUAUACAUACAUACAUAUAUAUCAAUCAGACAUUUUUUUCAAGGGGACUUGGAAAAUCUUUUUCUUUGUUGUAUGACUUUUCCUAUACUUUAAAAAGAGAUUUAAUUAAAUUUAAACAGACAAGAAAUUGGGGUAAAGCAGUUAGAAGAGUUACAUAAAAUACUAUAAUGCUAAUUUUUCAAAUUGUCUGAAAAUCCUCUCUUCUUUGAAGGGUGAUGUAAAGUUUUAUAUGUUAGAUGGGAAAUGCUGAAAUUACAUAAAUUACCUACAAUUAUUGUAACUUUAAGUUCAUUUUUAUUAAGUAUAAGCAUAACUUUGUAUUUAUAUUAUAUAUAUAUAUAUAUAUGGAUAUCCCACUCUUAAAAGUAAAUGAUCACGUGGGCAUUUAUAUUCUUGUUUUCUUCCCCUACCCCAAGAGACAAUCUCAGAGCUAGAAGAUCCAUUAGAUAAGCACUGAGCCAAGUCCACAGUUAGGAAGAAAUUGGAUACUUUCAGGCUUGGCUAGAUCUGGGAAAGACUUGAAAGAUAUUAGACAUUAAACUUAAAUUUCUGACUUAACUGAGAGGAUUGUGCACUGCUAUAAACCCAUAUGUGAAAUGAUGAGGAAAGAAACUUACUUGCUUUUGUAGUGAACUCUCUACAAUUUGUAGUCUUGUUUUAUAGAUCUCUUGGGUCUACUCAAUUGUAGAGAUUUAUUCAAGCAGUGGGAUGACUAGUGUAAAUGAGAGAGUCACAUGCAUUUUUAAAUUUACGCAUGCCAAGUGAUUUCUUGUCAGGGUAUCUCUAGGUCAUACAUAGUUGGUAUAGCAUUUUGUAAAAUAUAUCAUCAUAAAUUUGUCAUAAACCAUUAAUGAAAGAACAAAGGCAGAACAUUUACAUCUAUGGAAAUGAAUCAAAUAUCAAACAGAUGGUGUUCUACAACAUUUAUUUAGAGAAUAUAUACAUCUGCUAUAUAAUCAGAAAUAUGCUUUUUCACAUUUUAAAAUAACUUGGUUAUGAUUAAAAAAUUUUUGGAUUGUUUUCUAAAUGAUAUAGAGAAAAGGUAAAUGUAUUUUAAAACAUUUGACAUGAUAUUAAUAAAAUUUUAUUUCUGGUGAAAUACAGGUGCCUUUAUUAAAUUCUAAACAAAGCCAUGAAGCAGGGGAAGUGGAAUUGUGAACAUUCACUAUUUUUCUUGUGACUCCUGAAUUUCAAUUUAAGGGCACCUUGAUAUAAUGAUUUGAUAUUUUCUUUUCAACAUAGGAAAAUUUGCAUAAGGACUUGGAUUCUCCUUCUAAGACUUUUGCAGUAUUAUUAUUUCUCGAUUAUUAUUUGACCCUUGAAAUGGUUUUUAGGUUAUAUAUAUUUCAUCACUACACAUAUAAAGCUAUGAUGGUAUGAUAACCUUCAAAAUCAGAAACAAUUUUUUUUCUUCCCCUGUUAAAAGAGCAGAAUGAAGAUUAUCUGUCAAAACUAAAUUUUCUAAAUAUGGUAUAGUAGAAAGAAUAUAGAAUUUAGAGUUAGAGGAGGGAAUAAAAUUUUGGCUCUGCCACUUCCUUCCUGUAUGAUUCCUGUAUGAUUAGAGAGGUUAAUUCACCUCUCUAAGCCUCAGUUUCUUCAGCAGUAAAGCAAGGGUAUUAGAACAGAUGACUUCCAAGAUCCUUUUGAAUGUUAGAUUGAUGAUCAAAGGACCAUAGCUUCUAAGAAUUCUAUGGAUCAUAGAAUUCUUCCAAUCUUCUGCUUCUGAUCCCAAAGUGAUUAAGUCUUAGUUUAACUGGAUCAGAAGAAUUCAUCAGUGCAAGAAGUGUACUUCUGUAGAGAAAUCAGUUUUAAAAAUCAGUUAUGUGCGAAUUACCCAAUUAUCUUUAAAAAAAAUAGGAUGGGUCAUCACCACCUAGCAUACCAAUGAAGGCAAAGGCUUUGACUAAAAAGAAAACUGUAUAAUUCUUACUUAAGUAAUUGUGAAACAACUGAAUCAUAGAAAUAAUAGAAGGUAUCGUAUACAUAUCAUUAAAACCUUACAAUACAGGGUUUUCUAAUGGGAGGAGCCAUUGGUCUUUUCUCCAAGCUAGCAUGACAAUCUCAUAUGUUGUAUAAGUGCCUCAUACAGUGUUUUGCUCAUAUUUGGUACUCAAUAAAUGUUGUUGACUGAAA